rnacentral:rRNA from 1 species
AGGACGAACGCUGGCGGCGUGCUUAACACAUGCAAGUCGAGCGGAAAGGCCCUUCGGGGUACUCGAGCGGCGAACGGGUGAGUAACACGUGAGCAAUCUGCCCCUAGCUCUGGGAUAGCUCCGGGAAAACCGUGAUUAAUACCAGAUACAACCACUUUAGACAUCUUUUGUGGUGGAAAGGAUUCCGGCUAGGGAUGAGCUCGCGGCCUAUCAGCUUGUUGGUGAGGUAACGGCUCACCAAGGCGACGACGGGUA